rnacentral:rRNA from 1 species
CAACGCUGGCGGCGUGCCUAAUACAUGCAAGUCGAGCGGAAUGAUGAAGAAGCUUGCUUCUUCUGAUUUAGCGGCGGACGGGUGAGUAACACGUGGGCAACCUACCUUGUAGAUUGGGAUAACUCCGGGAAACCGGGGCUAAUACCGAAUAAUCCAUUUUGCUUCAUGGCGAGAUGUUGAAAGACGGUUUCGGCUGUCACUACAAGAUGGGCCCGCGGCGCAUUAGCUAGUUGGUAGGGUAAUGGCCUACCAAGGCGACGAUGCGUAGCCGACCUGAGAGGGUGAUCGGCCACACUGGGACUGAGACACGGCCCAGACUCCUACGGGAGGCAGCAGUAGGGAAUCUUCCACAAUGGACGAAAGUCUGAUGGAGCAACGCCGCGUGAGUGAAGAAGGUUUUCGGAUCGUAAAACUCUGUUGUAGGGGAAGAACACGUACGAGAGUAACUGCUCGUACCUUGACGGUACCUUAUUAGAAAGCCACGGCUAACUACGUG